GGGGCAGAGCUUCUUCUUGCUCUUGGAGUACAUUAAAUUGCACAUCCAACCUAUUGGCCACUGCAGGUAACUCUCUAUGGGAUCACUGGCCACUGGGUACACAGAUAAUCCAUAUACCCUACCUAUGCUGCAGAAUGAUGAAGGUUUUGCACAAGCUCUCCACUACGUUGUGUAAGGACAUUCUGUAGCAGUGCUGUCUGUUCCUCAGAAAUCAGACCAUCAGAUUUUUAUUCACAACCUACUGGGGGUGACCAAACAGAGAAAUGGUGACUUCCAAUGACAAGUCACGUGAAAGUGUUAAGAUAACAAGAACCUCAUUCUGCUUGAAGCUGCCAAAAAUAGGUAAGCUGGCCAAGAUGCUAAAGAAUAACUG